AGCAGCCGCGGUAAUUCCAGCUCCAAUAGCGUAUAUUAAAGUUGUUGCAGUUAAAAAGCUCGUAGUUGAAUUUCGGGGUUAGCAGGUCGGUCGUGCCAUCGGUAUGAACUGGUCUCGCUGAUCCCUCCCUCUUGACGAACUGUGAUGCCAUUAAUUUGGUGUCGCAGGGAAUCAGGACUGUUACUUUGAAAAAAUUAGAGUGUUUAAAGCAGGCUCACGCUUGAAUACAUUAGCAUGGAAUAAUGAAAUAGGACGUUUGAUCCUAUUUUGUUGGCUUCUAGGAUUGACGUAAUGAUUAAUAGGGAUAGUUGGGGGCAUUAGUAUUCAAUUGUCAGAGGUGAAAUUCUUGGAUUUAUUGAAGACUAACUACUGCGAAAGCAUUUGCCAAGGAUGUUUUCAUUAAUCAAGAACGAAAGUUAGGGGAUCGAAGACGAUCAGAUACCGUCGUAGUCUUAACCAUAAACUAUGCCGACUAGGGAUC
rnacentral:misc_RNA from 1 species